AGGGUUUGAUCAUGGCUCAGAACGUACGCUGGCGGCACGCCUUAUACAUGCAAGUCGAACGCAGUAGCAAUACUGAGUGGCAAACGGGUGAGUAUAAUGUGGGUAUCUGCCUUUUGGUUUGGAAUAACAUGAGGAAACUUGUGCUAAUACCGAAUAAGCCUUCACAGGGAAAGUUUUAACGCCGAAAGAUGAGCCCGCACUUGAUUAGUUUGUUGGUGAGGUAAUGGCUCACCAAGACAAUUAUCAAUAGCUGGUCUGAGAGGACGAUCAGCCACAUUGGGACUGAGACACGGCCCAGACUCCUACGGGAGGCAGCAGUAAGGAAUCUUGCACAAUGGGGGAAACCCUGAUGCAGCGAUGCCGCGUGAGUGAAGAAGGCCCUUGGGUUGUAAAACUCUUUCGUCGGGGAAGAAAAUGACUGUACCCGAAUAAGAAGGUCCGGCUAACUUCGUGCCAGCCGCCGCGGUAAUUC
rnacentral:rRNA from 1 species